rnacentral:lncRNA from 1 species
CUACAAGAUGCUACGGGCUUACUCUGAAUUUGAGAUGCUAAUGAGUCCCAUACAGCCAAUGAGGACCAGCCUGACAACAAUCCCUGCAUGCUCCGGAAAAAGAAUUGGACUACACCUCCCCGACUGCACUGGAUUCAACUCACUCCAUUUCGACUGACACUCCAACCAGAACCUCGAGUAAUGACUUCAAUCAAGUUGAGGAUUUCAACGUAGAUCUUCAAUCAAACAAAUCUCAUCUAACAUGGACUAGACAUAACUCAUUAGAGACUUUCCCUGUACUAGCAUUUUUUUCCACGGGACCCCACAUGACUACCAUCGUCCCAUUUCAGCAGGAAGUAACCUAGAAGAUGCUACACCCCCAUCCCCCAUUAUUGUUUAUUAGGGUAGUGUAAGCCUAGUUAAGAAUGACCUUCUUAUUGUUUAGAUUUGGGAUUGAAAGGAGGUGUUCAAGUUAGACACCUUUUCCACAUGACUUUAAGACUUAGCUGGAAUAGACAUAGGAUGUGCCAUAGCAGAUUAUUGUAUCUUCUUGUAUUUUACCCUUAUGAUUGUUAGUUUUGGACAUUUUACACUAUUAAGUUUUAAUCCUCUUUUAGACUAAAAGGGGAAUUGUAGGGAGACACCCUACACACAAUAAUCUUCAGUGG